ensembl:lncRNA
CAGAUUGGUAGCUGGAAACUGGCCAUGAUGGGACGAUUUACAUUCAGGACACUGUGGAAAAAGUUAAAAGAAAUCAGGGCUUCCCCUGCCCCGCUCGCCAAACCCUACCCCCACCCCCCAGCCCCAGAGAGUUGAAUCUUAAACAUCAGCACACUGCUGGAUCCAUCUAGCUCAGAACCCUGGUAUUGGAGUUUCUUUGCUCUCACAGGAAGUCUUCUUGGGUAAGAUUUAAUCAGCUCUAGUCCAGCUCUCUCUUCUGUCUAUAGGCAAUCCUUAUCGUAUUUUUGCCCCUUCCAAACUGAAAGGAUUUCAGGCAGAUGACAAGGUAGCAGUCAGAAUGAAUUUCUCCAAAGACUCUUCAUCACAGCUUCUCCCCUCUUCACACUUUGACUCCUCUUUAUAGCCUUCAUCUUGCUGAGAGGGUGCAAAAAGCAUAGAACCAGUUCAACUAAUCAUUUCCUUUGUACACUCAAUCUGCGGAGGCUGUCCCAGAUUCAUUUAGGUAUUUUAUGCAUCUGAGUUCCAUUUAAAUUUCUCUUCUUCAUUCAUGUGUCACCAUUCUGUGCCGAGUUAUCAUUCUGCUGCUGCUGCUGCUGCUGCUGUGAAGUCACUUCAGUCGUGUCCGACUCUGUGGGACCCCAUAGACAGAAGCUCACCAGGCUCCGCCGUCCCUGGGAUUCUCCAGGCAAGAACACUGGAAUGGAGAAAUAACAGCAUGUCCGUAUGCUCGUGGUAAUGACCCAAUAGAAAAAGUAGAACUGAUGAUGUAAGAGAAUGAAGAGGAUUGCUAGAGAAAAAUCUCUGGCUCAGUAAGAGUGAGGCCUUGACUGCACAACUCAAGUGCACAGAUUGCACUGAGGACUGGAGCAGUCCCAACAGCUUCCAGCAGAGGGCAGUGUCGGAGCGGAUCUGCGUCUCUCUACGGGGCCCUCAGGGGUUCGCUGCCUCACCAAUAGGAAUCUUUAAAUUGCUCUGAAAUUAGCAAGGGCUUCCCUGGUCAAAUUCCAGUGAGGGGAGAGUCUGUCCAGUCAGAGGAAAGACCGGGAACAAAGCCUGUUGCAGAGUGUGCUGCCCAGUGGGAAAGAAAACAGGGCCAAGGAGAAAGUAUCCUUGUGGAGUCUGUGUGUUAUGACUGCACAGGCGGAGAGAACUGAUCAAAGUAAGCCAGGAGCACAGAGGGUUUUCUCCAAGGCAAGCGUCGAUGUCUGCUUAAGUCUGGUCCACACACUUGAGAUGAAAGCUCGAGUUUCACAGAGGAAAUGUUAUUUACUGGGCAAAACAACAGGCAGGAUGGAAACAUGCAGUCCCCAAACUUAUUCUUUCGAUUUCAUCAAUCAUUCAAGCCAUGUCUCCUUUUGGGGAAAAAGAAAGUCCACGUGCCAGAGACACAGCUGCCUUUAGAGAGGAAACCCAGGAAACAACAGACAGUGCUGCUGGGUAGUUCCCCCUUCCUCUCACCCCAGGCCCAUCUGGGCCAGCAAGUCUGGCUUCCAUUGUUCCUUUGUUUAAUACUAUCCGUGUGGGAUUAACAAUAUCAUUAUGAAACCAGAGGAGCACUGACAGUGAAAUCCACAGAUCUGCAUAAACAUAUUGGUCCACAGACAACUGGAAUCUGAGUCAGUCUCUCAGCUCCCGUGCUAAGCUCUCUUAGCUUGUCCCUCUUCAUUCACCUCCACCAUUUCCUGCCCUGCUUUGUGCUGAGGAAGCUGCCUAGGUGAAGCAAAGCCACAUGCUUCCCUGACAAUCAGUUUCUAGUUUGGAUGGACCACUGAGAAGUGCCUGUAAGAAGGGAGGACUGAGUAUUUCUUCCCCAGGCUCCCUCCCUGCCUGCAGUUAGCAGAGUCUUCAUUCCUCUGCAGCUUCUGAGUCAUCCUAUAGUUACAGAAAUAAAUAACCACUCUCUCUUCUUCCCUUUUUAUGACGUGGGAAGUUAGAGAUUUCUGGAGAGCGUGGCUACUUCACUGCCUUUAAUCCCUCUUACACCC